UACCAAGAGAGAGGGACAACAACGGUACUGAGGGGAGCGAAUCUUACAAAAAAAGAAGAACUCAGCCGCGAAUUUGUUGUAGAAGAAGAAGUGGCAACUGGGGUUUCGAUAUCCGAAACCCCACUUUCCAUCGUCUCUGCUGCUCUCAUCACCGAUCUCCUUCCUGUCCGCUCACAGGCUAUCCGUCUCCUCCGCGUCCAUAAUUACCAUAGGUAUCAAUCAUUUACUCUCGUGUAUUUUUUUGUUGUGUAUUUGUUUGAAUGUUGUGUUGGAUUGAAAAGGGAUUUUGGAAAGAAUGAAGAAGAAAAGAGUUGUGAGAGAGAACCGUAA